rnacentral:rRNA from 1 species
GUGGGGAAUCUUCCGCAAUGGACGAAAGUCUGACGGAGCAACGCCGCGUGAGUGAUGAAGGCCUUCGGAUUGUAAAGCUCUGUUAAUCGGGACGAAAGAGCCUAGUGUGAAUAAUGCUAGGAAGUGACGGUACCGGAAUAGAAAGCCACGGCUAACUACGUGCCAGCAGCCGCGGUAAUACGUAGGUGGCAAGCGUUGUCCGGAAUUAUUGGGCGUAAAGCGCGCGCAGGCGGAUCUGCCAGUCUGUCUUAAAAGUUCGGGGCUUAACCCCGUGAUGGGAUGGAAACUACAGAUCUAGAGUAUCGGAGAGGAAAGUGGAAUUCCUAGUGUAGCGGUGAAAUGCGUAGAUAUUAGGAAGAACACCAGUGGCGAAGGCGACUUUCUGGACGAAAACUGACGCUGAGGCGCGAGAGCCAGGGGAGCGAACGGGAUUAGAAACCCUAGUAGUCC